CCAGACUCCUACGGGAGGCAGCAGUGAGGAAUAUUGGUCAAUGGCCGUAAGGCUGAACCAGCCAAGUCGCGUGAAGGAAGAAGGAUCUAUGGUUUGUAAACUUCUUUUAUAGGGGAAUAAAGGUAUCCACGUGUGGAUAUUUGCAUGUACCCUAUGAAUAAGCAUCGGCUAACUCCGUGCCAGCAGCCGCGGUAAUACGGAGGAUGCGAGCGUUAUCCGGAUUUAUUGGGUUUAAAGGGAGCGUAGGUGGAUUGUUAAGUCAGUUGUGAAAGUUUGCGGCUCAACCGUAAAAUUGCAGUUGAAACUGGCAGUCUUGAGUACAGUAGAGGUGGGCGGAAUUCGUGGUGUAGCGGUGAAAUGCUUAGAUAUCACGAAGAACUCCGAUUGCGAAGGCAGUUCACUGGACUGCAACUGACACUGAGGCUCGAAAGUGUGGGUAUCAAACAGGAUUAGAUACCCCCGUAGA
rnacentral:rRNA from 1 species